rnacentral:rRNA from 1 species
GAUGAACGCUGGCGGCGUGCCUAAUACAUGCAAGUCGAGCGAACAGACUAUGUUCUUUCUCCUCUUACGUUAUCGUCUGACGUGUGAGUAACACGUGUAUAACCUACCUUUUUUUCUUGUAUAACUUCGUGAAUCCGGAUCUAAUACCGUAUAAUAUAUUUAACCGCAUGGUUCAUUAGUUAUAUACGUUUUUUCUUUCUCUUAUAGAUUGAUCCGCGCCGCAUUAGCUAGUUGGUAAGGUAACGGCUUACCAAGGGAACGAUGCGUAGCCGACCUGAGAGGGUGAUAGGAAACACGGGAAGUGAGAAACGGACAAGAGAACUACGGGAGGAAGCAGAAGGGAAUAGGCAGCAAUGGGCGAAAGAAUGACGGAGCAAAGGCGAGUGAGAGAAGAGGGUCUUAGGAUCGUAAAAAAAUGUUAUGAGGGAAGAAAAAAUGGGGAAGAAAAAAAGGAGGUAUUGACGGUAACGAAAAAGAAAGCAACGGCUAACUACGUG